rnacentral:tRNA from 1 species
GGAGUUGUAGCUCAGUGGUAGAGCACUUGCCUUGCAAGUGUGAGACACUGGGUUCAAUCCUAGUACUACA